GGGAGCAAAAGACGCCACGCGUGGCGUUCCGAGAGUACCCGAAGAAAAAGCAUCGGCUAACUCCGUGCCAGCAGCCGCGGUAAUACGGAGGAUGCGAGCGUUAUCCGGAUUUAUUGGGUUUAAAGGGUGCGCAGGCGGAAGAUCAAGUCAGCGGUAAAAUUGAGAGGCUCAACCUCUUCGAGUCGUUGAAACUGGUUUUCUUGAGUGAGCGAGAAGUAUGCGGAAUGCGUGGUGUAGCGGUGAAAUGCAUAGAUAUCACGCAGAACUCCGAUUGCGAAGGCAGCAUACCGGCGCUCAACUGACGCUCAUGCACGAAAGUGUGGGUAUCGAACAGGAUUAGAUACCCUGGUAGUCCACACAGUAAACGAUGAAUACUAAUUGUUCGGGGAGAAUGAUCCCUGA
rnacentral:rRNA from 1 species